rnacentral:rRNA from 1 species
AUGGGCCGCCGCCUACCCGGCUCCAGCGGAACGCGCGCCGGCCGCUUUGGCACGGCGGCGGGUUCGCUAUUGGCCGCGGCUGCCGGCGGCGCGGCGACAGAGGCAUCGGGCGUACUGCCUUCUUGCUCGCCCCUCUGGCCUCUGCGCUCCGCCUCGGUGGCAGCGCCCAAGGCCGCAGCGGGCGAGCGGCGUCGCCUUCCCCCCUUCCCUGACGCUUCUGCAGCAACUGAGCCACUCCGUAGGUGGAACAAGAAGCCUUUGAAGAACAGAGAGACGGUGAGCUUCCCGUUGGUGGGGCGGCUGGUGGAAACGGGCCGCUGGGGAGCCAUGUUGCUCAACCAUGCUCUCAUGGGCGUCGACAAGGACCCCACCCCGUGA